rnacentral:rRNA from 1 species
GGCCUAACACAUGCAAGUCGAACGGCAGCACAGUAAGAGCUUGCUCUUAUGGGUGGCGAGUGGCGGACGGGUGAGGAAUACAUCGGAAUCUACCUUUUCGUGGGGGAUAACGUAGGGAAACUUACGCUAAUACCGCAUACGACCUUCGGGUGAAAGCAGGGGACCUUCGGGCCUUGCGCGGAUAGAUGAGCCGAUGUCGGAUUAGCUAGUUGGCGGGGUAAAGGCCCACCAAGGCGACGAUCCGUAGCUGGUCUGAGAGGAUGAUCAGCCACACUGGAACUGAGACACGGUCCAGACUCCUACGGGAGGCAGCAGUGGGGAAUAUUGGACAAUGGGCGCAAGCCUGAUCCAGCCAUACCGCGUGGGUGAAGAAGGCCUUCGGGUUGUAAAGCCC